CACGUAGGGCGCAAGCGUUGUCCGGAAUUAUUGGGCGUAAAGAGUGUGUAGGCGGUGCUCUAAGUUCGGUGUGAAAUCUCCUGGCUCAACUGGGAGGGUGCGCCGGAAACUGGAGUGCUUGAGCGUGGGAGAGGAAAGCGGAAUUCCUGGUGUAGCGGUGAAAUGCGUAGAUAUCAGGAGGAACACCUGUGGUGUAGACGGCUUUCUGGACCAUAGCUGACGCUGAGACACGAAAGCGUGGGUAGCAAACAGG
rnacentral:rRNA from 1 species